UACGUAGGGUGCGAGCGUUAAUCGGAAUUACUGGGCGUAAAGCGUGCGCAGGCGGUUCGUUAAGUUCGUUGUGAAAGCCCCGGGCUCAACCUGGGAAUGGCAAUGGAAACUGGCGAGCUUGAGUGUGGCAGAGGGGGGUGGAAUUCCGCGUGUAGCAGUGAAAUGCGUAGAGAUGCGGAGGAACACCGAUGGCGAAGGCAAUCCCCUGGGCCUGCACUGACGCUCAUGCACGAAAGCGUGGGGAGCAAACAGG
rnacentral:rRNA from 1 species